GACGAACGCUGGCGGCGUGCUUAACACAUGCAAGUCGAACGGAAAGGCCCUGCUUUUGUGGGGUUCUCGAGUGGCGAACGGGUGAGUAACACGUGAGUAACCUGCCCUUGACUUUCGGGUAACUUCAGGAAACUGGGGCUAAUACCGGAUAGGAUCUCCUGCUGCAUGGUGGGGGUUGGAAAGUUUCGGCGGUUGGGGAUGGACUAGCUGCUUAUCAGCUUGUUAGUGGGGUAGUGGCGUACGAGGGCUUUGACGGAUAGCCCGCCUGAGAGCGUGAACGGGCACAUUGGUACUGAGAGAGGGCGCAGUAGGGUACGGUACGCAGCAGUGGGGAAUAUUGCGGAAUGGGCGGAAGCGUGAGAUAGCAAUGUCGCGAGCGGGAUGACGUCCUACGGGUGGUAAACCGAUGUCGAAGGAGACGAAGAGGGAUUGACGGUAAUGGGUAAGGAAGCACCGGCUAACUACGUG
rnacentral:rRNA from 1 species